AUCCAUCUGACGAGUCCCGAAUAGGACGAAACGCGAGUCCUGGAU
rnacentral:hammerhead_ribozyme from 1 species